rnacentral:rRNA from 1 species
GACGAACGCUGGCGGCGUGCUUAACACAUGCAAGUCGAACGGAAAGGCCCUGCUUUUGUGGGGUGCUCGAGUGGCGAACGGGUGAGUAACACGUGAGUAACCUGCCCUUGACUUUGGGAUAACUUCAGGAAACUGGGGCUAAUACCGGAUAGGAGCUCCUGCUGCAUGGUGGGGGUUGGAAAGUUUCGGCGGUUGGGGAUGGACUCGCGGCUUAUCAGCUUGUUGGUGGGGUAGUGGCUUACCAAGGCUUUGACGGGUAGCCGGCCGGAGAGGGUGACCGGGCCCCGUGGGACUGAUGGAAGGCUGGGACUGUCCCGGUAGGCGCCAGGGGGGGCGCGGGCACACGGGGCUGGGGUUGUACGCCGCAACGCCGUGUGAGGGAGGAUGGGUGUCGGGAGUGAAAAAGCUUUCGCCUGUGAGCAAGCGGGCGUGAGCGGUAGUGGUAAACAAGCAACCCAGAAUUCCGUG